rnacentral:rRNA from 1 species
GAUCAUGGCUCAGGAUGAACGCUGGCGGCGUGCUUAACACAUGCAAGUCGAACGAUUGAAGCUGGAGCUUGCUCCGGCCGAUUUAGUGGCGGACGGGUGAAUAACGCGUGGGUAACCUGCCUCAUACAGGGGGAUAGCAGUUGGAAACGACUGGUAAAACCGCAUAAGCGCACGGUAUCGCAUGACACAGUGUGAAAACACUCCGGUGGUAUGAGAUGGACCCGCGUCUGAUUAG